UCAUUCAUUCAAAAUUGUUUUGUCUGUUCCAAAUCUUUUUGUCUAUUAAAUGCGUUGCGUAAACUUCUGUAUCGGUUGACAAUGUUAUUAAGAUUUAUAACAGCUUGCUACAUAGAUGAAUCUUUAGUGAAAUCCUCAUUUAUCUAAAGAAAACUAGCAACAGGUAUAUUUGCGGCCCGAUUGUGGCCGCCGCACAGAUACUGGGCGGCCCGGAUCGGGCCGCAGAACAGACAGCAACUAGAGUUAGUAAAAUGGCCGACCAUGCAGUUUGCAUAGUAUGGAUACGCUGAGAGCAGCAUAUUCAAUACAUUAUUAAUUAUAUUUUUUUGAUCCGAUUUAUUUAACACUUAAUAACAAAUGUUUCUAAGUCGCUUUUUUAUAAUUUUACAUAAUUGUUUAAAAACAGCGGUUCUUAAAUUGAAUAACUAUAUUAAAAAUCUUAAUAGACAUAUUAUGAUUUUUAACGGACACUCAUUGUUUUUUCAUUGGUUUGGUUGUCACCCGCAUGGAAAUUUUUUGGCACUUUUAUGCUUAUGUGCACUAAACUAACUGCAUGCUAUAUUUUUGUGUGUGUGUUUUUUUAAUUUAAGGCCACGAGUCUCAAAAACUCGCGGCAGCAGAGGUGGUGGUCGUGGCCGUGGUCGCCAUACUAAUAAUGAUCGGGGCCCUCAAGAAGGUUUGGGCACUCGAGAAGAAGUAGAGACUCGGGGGAUUGUGCACGCUAGGGGCAGUACACGUACUAGGGGUGGUGUGCGGAGUAGGGGUGGUGUGCGCACUAGAGGCGGUGUACAGAGAAGGGGCGGUGUACGUACUAGGGGUGGCGCAAAUACAUCGCACCCGAUUUGUCUAGAAAGGUAAAUAUAAUAUUACUUAACACAAAUAGAGGUAAAUAACUAUUGCGUAGGUACUAUUACAGUCAAAAUUUAAAUCAGUAUUUAUUAAUUUAUGUUUCUCUAUUUUUAGCAUUUAUUGUGGCCCUCUUAAAGACUGGCCAAGUGGCUUGGCCAUCGAAGUUCCUUUACGGAAAAAAUUUUUUAGGAGGACGACACCGAGUCCCGAACCCGCACGUUCAAGAACUCCCAUACUAGUACAGCAUGAUGAAAUACUAUCUGCAGCUGAAACAUUAGCAGCGCUGAGUUCAGCCCCGCCAUCGCCUGGUUUAGACCAAGGAGCCAUAUCCCAUAUAUUAUCGGCAGCUGAAACAUUAGCAGCUCUGAGUUCAAAUCCGCCGUCGCCUCUUUUAGACAAAGAAGCCAGCUGGCCCUCGUUGCCCCUUGAUUUUGAGUUAGUAUAACAACUAGUACAAUUUUCUCGUGCCUACGCAGAUAAUUAUUUCUUGACUAAUUUUUGCACUUUUGCAGAUUGUUUGAUACUGCAGUUGCAUCACGAGUCGUUUCACCUGCACUUUCAUUAGUUUCAAACGCACCUUCUCCAAUAGUGUGAGUAUUUUUAUUACUUAUAUAAAUUAUUUACUUCUAUUUUCUUUAUUACUUAUUAUUUUUACAAUAUUGUGUCCCAGAAAGAUUACGUGGUUAUAUUUUGUUUUUAUUUACAGAAAUAUUGAAGUCGACACGGUUCAGACAUCUGCCCUUAGAACAGUGCGCCUUCCCAAACGCAGAGAGGAAUCUCCUUCCUAUCAGUAAGUAUCACUUCAUAAUUAAAGAAUAAUAUACCCGUGAUUCUUUUAUGUUAAUAAUAAUAAAAACUAUCUUUUCAGAUCUCCUGCAGUUUGUCGUGGCCCUCCUCGUCCAUUAAAGGACUCAGAAAUAGAAAAUGUCCUUUUCUAUGGCAAGUACCUACUUUAAUAAUCGCU